ensembl:misc_RNA 7SK 7SK RNA
GGACGUGAAAGCAAUCUUGCUGUGAUGGCUGUCACCCCACUGAUUCCCAGGAUUGAUCUGGCUGAUCUGGCUGGCUGGGCAGGGUCCCUUCCUCCCUCACCACUCCACCUGUGUCCCUCUUGAAGCUACACUCUGAGUAGAAGAGGACAACCCACCCCAGUGACAGAAGGACAGUUUCCUUCUCAAGAGUACACAAGUAUCUCUGCUCCCACACUAGAACUACCAAACAAGCUCUCAGAAAAUUGUCACGAUAACUGUGGGCAGGAAAGAGAAACAGAUGCACCCUU